rnacentral:rRNA from 1 species
UACGUAGGGUCCGAGCGUUGUCCGGAAUUACUGGGCGUAAAGAGCUCGUAGGUGGUUUGUCGCGUUGUCCGUGAAAACUCACAGCUUAACUGUGGGCGUGCGGGCGAUACGGGCAGACUGGAGUACUGCAGGGGAGACUGGAAUUCCUGGUGUAGCGGUGAAAUGCGCAGAUAUCAGGAGGAACACCGGUGGCGAAGGCGGGUCUCUGGGCCGAUACUGACGCUGAGGAGCGAAAGCGUGGGGAGCGAACAGG